AUUGAACGCUGGCGGCAGGCCUAACACAUGCAAGUCGAGCGAGCGGCAGACGGGUGAGUAAUGCCUGGGAAUUGCCCAGUCGAGGGGGAUAACAGUUGGAAUCGACUGCUAAUACCGCAUACGAUUGUAUUGGCCAGGUGGGAUUAGCUAGUUGGUGGGGUAAAGGCUCACCAAGGCGACGAUCCCUAGCUGGUCUGAGCGGAUGAUCAGCCACACUGGAACGGAGACACGGUCCAGACUCCUACGGGAGGCAGCAGGGGGGAAUAUUGCACAAUGGGGGAAAGCCUGAUGCAGCCAUGCCGCGUGUGUGAAGAAGGCCUUCGGGUUGUAAAGCACUUUAAGCGAGGAGGCGUUACUAGCAGAAGAAGCACCGGCUAACUCCGUGCCAGCAGCCGCGGUAAUAC
rnacentral:rRNA from 1 species